GACGAACGCUGGCGGCGUGCUUAACACAUGCAAGUCGAACGGAAAGGCCCUGCUUUUGUGGGGUGCUCGAGUGGCGAACGGGUGAGUAACACGUGAGUAACCUGCCCUUGACUUUGGGAUAACUUCAGGAAACUGGGGCUAAUACCGGAUAGGAGCUCCUGCUGCAUGGUGGGGGUUGGAAAGUUUCGGCGGUUGGGGAUGGACUCGCGGCUUAUCAGCUUGUUGGUGGGGUAGUGGCUUACCAAGGCUUUGACGGGUAGCCGGCCUGAGAGGGUGACCGGCCACAUUGGGACUAAGAUACGGCCCAGACUCCUACGGGAGGCAGCAGUGGGGAAUAUUGCACGAUGGGCGGACGCCUGAUGCAGCAACGCCGCGUGCGGGAUGACGGCCUUCGGGUUGUAAACCGCUUUCGCCUGUGACGAAGCGUGAGUGACGGUAAUGGGUAAAGAAGCACCGGCUAACUACGUG
rnacentral:rRNA from 1 species